CGAGGUGCAGGUGCUCGGCGAGUUCGUCGGACGAUGCCCGACGGUGCCGGUGGUCGGCGUCCCGUCGCUGCCGUUCGAGGUGGCGAACCUCGA
rnacentral:tRNA from 1 species